rnacentral:rRNA from 1 species
GAUGAACGCUGGCGGCGUGCCUAAUACAUGCAAGUCGAGCGAACAGACGAGAGUGCUUGCACUCUCUGACGUUAGCGGCGGACGGGUGAGUAACACGUGGGUAACCUACCUAUAAGACUGGGAUAACUUCGGGAAACCGGAGCUAAUACCGGAUAAUAUUUAGCUUCGCAUGAAGCAAUAGUGAAAGACGGUUCUGCUGUCACUUAUAGAUGGACCCGCGGUGUAUUAGCUAGUUGGUGAGGUAACGGCUCACCAAGGCAACGAUACAUAGCCGACCUGAGAGGGUGAUCGGCCACACUGGGACUGAGACGCGGCCCAGACUCCUACGGGAGGCAGCAGUAGGGAAUCUUCCGCAAUGGACGGAAGUCUGACGGAGCAAUGCCGCGUGAGUGAAGAAGGUUUUCGGAUCGUAAAACACUGUUGUAAGGGAAGAACAAGUACGUUAGUAACUGAACGUACCUUGACGGUACCUUACCAGAAAGCCACGGCUAACUACGUG